rnacentral:rRNA from 1 species
UUAACACAUGCAAGUCGAACGAUGAUCCUGGAGCUUGCUCUGGGGGAUUAGUGGCGAACGGGUGAGUAACACGUGAGUAACCUGCCCUUGACUCUGGGAUAACCUCCGGAAACGGAAGCUAAUACCGGAUAUGACGCACGGAGGCAUCUCCUGUGCGUGGAAAGAAUUUCGGUCAAGGAUGGACUCGCGGCCUAUCAGGUAGUUGGUGAGGUAACGGCUCACCAAGCCUACGACGGGUAGCCGGCCUGAGAGGGUGACCGGCCACACUGGGACUGAGACACGGCCCAGACUCCUACGGGAGGCAGCAGUGGGGAAUAUUGCACAAUGGGCGAAAGCCUGAUGCAGCAACGCCGCGUGAGGGACGACGGCCUUCGGGUUGUAAACCUCUUUUAGUAGGGAAGAAGCGAAAGUGACGGUACCUGCAGAAAAAGCACCGGCUAACUACGUGCCAGCAGCCGCGGUAAUACGUAGGGUGCAAGCGUUGUCCGGAAUUAUUGGGCGUAAAGAGCUCGUAGGCGGUUUGUCGCGUCUGCUGUGAAAUCCCGAGGCUCAACCUCGGGUCUGCAGUGGGUACGGGCAGACUAGAGUGCGGUAGGGGAGAAUGGAAUUCCUGGUGUAGCGGUGGAAUGCGCAGAUAUCAGGAGGAACACCGAUGGCGAAGGCAGUUCUCUGGGCCGUAACUGACGCUGAGGAGCGAAAGCGUGGGGAGCGAACAGGAUUAGAUACCCUGGUAGUCCACGCCGUAAACGUUGGGC